GUUCCAGUGAUCAGGCAGGUGCUGAGAAGCACAGGCAGGAUGAGGGGAUACUUGCCAGGAGACAGCAUGGGAUGCCAUUGCCUAGAGUUGGCAGAAGGACCAGGAGCAGGCAGGCAGCGAGAGAACACCCAGAGUGCUCCUGAUCGGACCAAGCUGCAUGGAGGCCACAAUGGGACACCUGAGGGAAAAGGUGACCCCAGAUGAGGUCCAUCGGAACCAGAUAUUGUGGGAACUGUCAAACCAGACCAAGAAGUAUGGAGGCCACAGAGGGACACCCCAGGGAGGUGACCCUGGAUGAGGUUCAUCAGAACUAGAUCUUGUGAGAACUACCUGACCAGACCAAGCAGCACAGAGGCCACGGUGAGACACCUGAGGGAGAAGGCGAACCCAGAUAAGGCUCAUCGGGUUCCGAUCUUGUGAGAACUGCAGAAGGCGACCACAGAUGAGGCUCAUCAGAACUAGAUCUUGUGAGAACUGCCUGAGCAGACCAAGCAGCACAGAGGCCACAGUGAGACACAUGAGGGAGAAGGUGAACCCAGAUGAGGCUCAUCAGGAACAGAUCUUGUGGGAACCAGAGAGGACAACCCCGGAUGAGGUCCAUCAGAACCAGAUCUUGUGGGAACUGCACUUCAAAGUGCUACAGACCCACAAACACUACAUGCAGCAUCACAUGAAUGCCCUCUGCAAGGGUGAGGGGCCUGGCAGGAUGGAGGAAAUACCAGAGAGGGGGGAUGCGCCCUGAAAAAAAGGAGAGCCCUGGGGACUGCGGAAGGUGGAGUGUGCG
rnacentral:lncRNA from 1 species